rnacentral:rRNA from 1 species
AGUGAACGCUGGCGGUAGGCCUAACACAUGCAAGUCGAACGGCAGCACAGUAAGAGCUUGCUCUUACGGGUGGCGAGUGGCGGACGGGUGAGGAAUACAUCGGAAUCUACUUUUUCGUGGGGGAUAACGUAGGGAAACUUACGCUAAUACCGCAUACGACCUACGGUUGAAAGCAGGGGAUCUUCGGACCUUGCGCGAUUGAAUGAGCCGAUGUCGGAUUAGCUAGUUGGCGGGGUAAAGGCCUACCAAGGCGACGAUCCGUAGCUGGUCUGAGAGGAUGAUAAGCCACACUGGAGCUGAGACACGGUCCAGACUCCUACGGGAGGCAGCAGUGGGGAAUAUGGGACAAUGGGCGCAAGCCUGAUCCAGCCAUACCGCGUGGGUGAAGAAGGCCUUCGGGUUGUAAAGCCCUUUUGUUGGGAAAGAAAAGCAGCAGGUUAAUACCCCGCUGUUCUGACGGUACCCAAAGAAUAAGCACCGGCUAACUUCGUG